GUCCACGCCGUAAACGAUGGGCACUAGAUGCUUGGGGGAGCGACCCCCUGAGUGUCGUCGCUAACGCAGUAAGUGCCCCGCCUGGGGAGUACGGCCGCAAGGCUGAAACUCAAAGGAAUUGACGGGGGCCCGCACAAGCGGUGGAGCAUGUGGUUUAAUUCGACGCAACGCGAAGAACCUUACCUAGGCUUGACAUGCAGGAGAAACGCCUGAGAAACCAGGCGCCCUCUUCGGAGUUCCUGCACAGGUGCUGCAUGGCUGUCGU
rnacentral:rRNA from 1 species